UAUGGAAUGAGUGCAACAGUUACUAAUGC
rnacentral:sRNA from 1 species